GCACUUCGGUAUAAACUCGACGGGGCUCGGACGUAAUCGGAUUCUUCUUGAACUGGGAGAUAUCGUCACACACUACAAACGAUUUCACCAACACCGAUGUACGACUUCAGGGUUUCUCAGUCGAUAACGAAGAUCGAGACGGUUUCGUGGAGAAAAAAGGUGCCUGAGAAAAAAGAAAACUGCUUGAACUCUGCCGAGAUGCAAUCGCUUCGGGUCGCAAAUUCCGAUGAGGUUGCACGAGUCCUUCUGGGGUGGGGCUUGAUGGAAAAAAAUACUUUCGAUUUCAACUCAAUUUCAGAGCCUUUGUAACGAUUAAUAUGAACUAAAUUUCCUAAUGAACCUUCACUAUUCGAAGAAUAGAGUUUUUCCCGAGAAUUUGAAGAAUGAGAUCGUAUUACAUAAGAAAUUAAGUUGAAUGAUGAAGUGGAAAAUACGAAAAAUGUUUUGAAAAGUGUUCUUCACUUCCUACAAAGAAAUUCGAAUGUGUGCAGCUCUUGUUUUUGUGUUCAAGCCGAGAGCUUAACGUCCAUCACAAUUAAUCCGCUAAUAAAUGGCAGUCCGAAACUCGAGGACGCUCGAGUUUGAUUCAAAAACUGGUAGCUGGUGAGGACUCGAUAUUUUCUUCAAAACAGUGAUUUAUCCACAAGCCAGUUACAGUUUCGAUUCGUCUAUGCGAACUGUGAAUCAAAUCGGGCUACCAAACGCAAGUCCAUAGGCAAAAUUAUGGCCGGAAACAAAAUGCUGGGCAAAUUAUUGCUGCAAAAUAAGAAAGUUGGAAGCAGCGAAUGAUGAUAUUCCUGGUGCCGAGUUAUUUCAUCGUCGGAACGUUUGCUCGCAGUGUGAGACGUCGCGGAGGUCCUGCCCUCGGACGGUGAGGAUUGAAACUAUAUCGACGUAGUUAUUUACCAAAGUGGAAGAUUGAGAUUCAUUGGUCAGUGAAACCGCGACGCAGAACGAUCGAAUGCCAGAGUGUGGAGAAAAUUCAUGGUAUUUAACCUUAAUAAGUAGAUCAAUGGGAAUGGGUUAAUCAACGGAACGCUCCGUUGCCGGCUCCCGUGUUUGACGGUAUUGCAGAGUGCGCGAGGAGCUACUGCAGACGCCUGCCAGAUGGCGCAGCGGACGUUUUCUUUCAGAAUCACACGCACAGGCGCGCCCGGGUGCGGUCGAAAAACCACCUGACGAAAGACGUUUUCACCGCUCGUGUGUUCCCGUUUUCACAAAUUCCAACUGAGAAUAUCGUUCGUGCCAAAAUUGAAUUCGUCCGAAGUGCACGUGAAAUAAUCGCGGAAACUGCGCGAAAUAAUAAAAUCAAAGGAGAAUCACAAAUAUUGAAAGUGACGGAAGAAUUAUUUCGUUCACGAAAAAUAACCUCCAAAGCACGUGUCACGAAUGUGACAAAUGAACUCGAAAAAAGGACUGAAAAUGUACAAAAUAGGUCGCCAGCAGAACUUUCUAACCUCCGACACAACACGAGAUGAACAACAAAGGAAAAGCCGACAAUAUUUCCGUUGCAUGCUGACAUCGUUCAACAAACAAAAACACGGAAAAGAUGGAAUGAGGGUGAAAUGUGAUGGACAACAUGGCGAGAUUGCUCAGCGGAUACCUGAUUUCCGCCAUCAGUGAAAUACCAUUCAAACGAUUCCGACCUAGAAUCGGCUAGCGGGUUGUUUCAUCAAGAAACACAAGAGACGAAACCGAAGAUAUGGCAAUGCUGAAAGCGCUAGGCUCACGUACAUUGAACGAGUUCUUGAACAUAAUUUUGAAUCCUCAAGUUCGAGAUAAAUACGAUCAUUUAAACGAGGUAAUUAUUUAUGGUUUCAUUAAAAUAAAAGAAGAUUUUGAAAAUAAUUGAACGACGCAGCGUCGAGGAGUGCAAUGCACUUGCAAUAGCUACAUGAAAUAAAAGAACUUGCGAGAGGAAAACUUAGCGAAAACGGCAAUAAUUCUUUCUGGCCGAUUCAGACGCUUUCACAUUUUCAGACAAUGCUUUAAUUAUCGGGGUACCUGGAUUUCAAUGGCCCGGCAUAAAUGGCCGAGCAUGGUGCCCAAGUAA